rnacentral:pre_miRNA from 1 species
CGGGGGAGGCCGGAUCCUGGGCUGUGUCCCGGCGCCCUGUGCUCCCAGGGCCUGCGCUGUUGGAUUCGCGCUCCCGCCCCGCAGCUCCCU